UGGAGCCAGUCAGCUGGAUCUGAACAACAACACAGCACACAAAGCCGUGGUCCUUCAGACGUGGCCACAGAGUGUGAUGUGAUGUAGGAAUUUGCCUCUGGACAAGGCAGCAGGGCACAGUGAAGAGGUUACUUAGAGUCAGAGAACCUGGUUUGGAAUCUGGCUGCACUGCUAACAAUGUGAUCUUGGGGACUCCUGUUAUUAUGGACUAAAACGGAAAUGAAGCCUCCUCUCUUCGCCAGUGCUCUAUCAUUAAAGGGGAAAAGGGAAAUGAUUUUAGUGGGCUAAAGUCUCCUUUCACCUGCAUUGUUACCAUUGUUAUUCAUGGGAAAAAUGAAGAGAGAGCUCAGUGGAGAAUUUAACUCUGGGACAGACCCAACAGCUGCAGAGGAGGCGAUUUGAGAAGCACCCAACAUUCCAUCCAAUCAAAACUAACUUUCUUUCUCUCCCACCACAGCUAAUAAAGUUGUCAGCAUUAAU